CGAAGCCUGCCUCCCGAAAUACAUCAAAUAAAAAAAGGAAACACUCAUGAAUAAAAGGGAAAGUGAAAAUGUGAAAAGGAGUACUAUUAAUUUCUUGACCAUCUUGUUUU
rnacentral:ribozyme from 15 species